UACGUAGGGGGCUAGCGUUGUCCGGAAUCAUUGGGCGUAAAGCGCGCGUAGGCGGCCAGAUAAGUCCGGUGUGAAAGUCACAGGCUCAACCUGUGAAUGCCGCUGGAAACUGUCUGGCUAGAGUCCGGAAGGGGCGAGUGGAAUUCCUGGUGUAGCGGUGAAAUGCGUAGAUAUCGGGAGGAACAUCAGUGGCGAAGGCGACUUUCUGGACUAAUACUGACACUGAGGCACGAAAGCGUGGGGAGCAAACGGG
rnacentral:rRNA from 1 species